GGCGGUGUAGCUCAAUGGCAGAGCACUUGCCUAGCAUGUAUGAGGCUCUGGGUUCCAUCCCUAGUCCCCCCA
rnacentral:tRNA from 1 species